GUGGGAGCCUGCUGCAGUGGUCGACCCAUGAGGUAUGCUAUUCGGUACCAACACUUCAUUCUCAACAUAAGGUUGUGUCUGUUGCUCAUAUUGUCUUCAAAUACCGGUGUGAAAAGGCUUUUUUGCUAGAUCUGCAUAUUAUGGUUCUCCAAAUACAAAACACUGAACGAUAUUGUAGUUUUUGUGAGCUUGUUCUUUAUAAGAGAAUAAUCGAAUCUUUUCAAUUGUCAUUAUGCCAUUGAUAUCGAAAUCUUGCAUGAGUUUUUGUUGAUUGUUCAGUGACUAAGCUUAUGUUGGUUAAUAUGAAUUUAAAUUGUAC
rnacentral:lncRNA from 1 species